rnacentral:rRNA from 1 species
AGCGAACGCUGGCGGCAGGCCUAACACAUGCAAGUCGAACGGAUCCUUCGGGACUAGUGGCGGACGGGUGAGUAACACGUGGGAACGUGCCCUUUGGUUCGGAACGCCUCAGGGAAACUUGAGCUAAUACCGGAUGUGCCCUUCGGGGGAAAGAUUUAUCGCCAUUGGAGCGGCCCGCGUCGGAUUAGCUAGUUGGUGAGGUAAAGGCUCACCAAGGCGACGAUCAGUAGCUGGUCUGAGAGGAUGAUCAGCCACAUUUGGACUGAGACACGGCCCAAACUCCUACGGGAGGCAGCAGUGGGGAAUCUUGCGCAAUGGGCGAAAGCCUGACGCAGCCAUGCCGCGUGAAUGAUGAAGGUCUUAGGAUUGUAAAAUUCUUUCAACGGGGACGAUAAUGACGGUACCCGGAGAAGAAGCCCCGGCUAACUUCGUGCCAGCCGCCGCCGUAACAC